CAACAUUAAGGAACUGCUCGCCCUCUCAUAACUUCCUACUUACUUGCAGUCCCUGCAACGAAUUGCAUAUAUUAAUAAGACUUUCGGUAUCCAAUAUCUAGGUAGUAGUAUCACAAAUAGAAAAAUUAUAAGGAGUUAUCAUAUAAGUACUUUGUGAAGCAAUCGCUUACUUCUUUCUUUUAUUUUUAGGCCUAUUUGGGCCAAGGGUGGUU
rnacentral:lncRNA from 1 species